UACAGAGGUCUCAAGCGUUGUUCGGAUUCAUUGGGCGUAAAGGGUGCGUAGGUGGCGCGCUAAGUCGGGUGUGAAAUUUCGGAGCUUAACUCCGAAACUGCAUUCGAUACUGGCGUGCUUGAGGACUGGAGAGGAGACUGGAAUUUACGGUGUAGCAGUGAAAUGCGUAGAUAUCGUAAGGAAGACCAGUGGCGAAGGCGGGUCGUCUGGACAGUUCCUGACACUGAGACACGAAGGCCAGGGGAGCAAACGGG
rnacentral:rRNA from 1 species